AGCAUUGUCCGCGACGCAGCUCGGGAUCCGCGUCGGGUUGUCGGCCGGGUUGCUGCCAGGCACCGUCGAGCGUUAGCCACCCAGCAUUGAGCUGCCAGCGGCUGUUCUCCCUAAGCACCCUCGCUCACGUCGCCUCGCCUCGCCUCGCCUGACCGGCCGCAGCCUUGGAUACCAGCCUUAAAUCGAGCCGACUACGGCCCAGCCCCGCCCGCGGCGAAGUGCGCGGGGUUCGGUGCCAGCCGCUCGCCCCUGGCCGGGCCAGCCUCUUGAUGCACCGGGGACGGGCGCGCCCAUCCGACUCUUCGAGGGGCGGCAGGGCCCCAUCUGUGUCUUUCGCUCUCGAGCCCCCAGCUAGAGUUGGCUUCAGCGGAAUACCUACUGUGCAGGAUUAUUCAACAAGCCGAUUGAUCACAUUCUUCAGCUCUAGCAGUGCAAAGGCUUCACUGAAAAAGAACAUUACAAAUUUUUUUUGAAAGAAAUUUGGGGGUAAAUUUAAUUUUAAAUACUGAUUUUUGAUAACAUUUGAUCUUAUGACAGCAUUUGUAUUUUUAAUUACAGAUAGGAUUACACUAAAAGUCAUUUCUGACCUGCUCCCUUACCCUUAUGGCUAAAAUAAACUGCUAGGCCCUGAAGCAAAGGCGAGCCAUGUUCUAGAGCAAUGUCUUUCUUGUAUUAAAAUACGGCCCCAUGCUCA
rnacentral:lncRNA from 1 species